GCAGCAGCCGCGGGAAUACAGAGGGUGCGAGCGUUAAUCGGAUUUACUGGGCGUAAAGCGUGCGUAGGCGGCUUUUUAAGUCGGAUGUGAAAUCCCUGAGCUUAACUUAGGAAUUGCAUUCGAUACUGGGAAGCUAGAGUAUGGGAGAGGAUGGUAGAAUUCCAGGUGUAGCGGUGAAAUGCGUAGAGAUCUGGAGGAAUACCGAUGGCGAAGGCAGCCAUCUGGCCUAAUACUGACGCUGAGGUACGAAAGCAUGGGGAGCAAACAGGAUUAGAUACCCGCGUAGUCCCUGUCUCUUAUAA
rnacentral:rRNA from 1 species